GCAACUUUAGCUCAGUUGGGAGAGCGUCAGACUGAAGUCCACUUCAUCCAGCAUUGUCCCCGACAAUUGCAAUCUGAAGGUCACCCGUUCGAUCCGGGUAAGUUGCA